ACGCUGGCGGCGUGCCUAAUACAUGCAAGUCGAACGAGAGCGACCGGUGCUUGCACUGGUCAAUCUAGUGGCGAACGGGUGAGUAACACGUGGGUAACCUGCCCAUCAGAGGGGGAUAACAUUCGGAAACGGAUGCUAAAACCGCAUAGGUCUUCGAACCGCAUGGUUUGAAGAGGAAAAGAGGCGCAAGCUUCUGCUGAUGGAUGGACCCGCGGUGCAUUAGCUAGUUGGUGAGGUAACGGCUCACCAAGGCCGUGAUGCAUAGCCGACCUGAGAGGGUGAUCGGCCACAUUGGGACUGAGACACGGCCCAAACUCCUACGGGAGGCAGCAGUAGGGAAUCUUCCGCAAUGGACGCAAGUCUGACGGAGCAACGCCGCGUGAGUGAAGAAGGUUUUCGGAUCGUAAAACUCUGUUGUUAGAGAAGAACAAGUGCUAGAGUAACUGUUAGCGCCUUGACGGUAUCUAACCAGAAAGCCACGGCUAACUACGUGCCAGCAGCCGCGGUAAUACGUAGGUGGCAAGCGUUGUCCGGAUUUAUUGGGCGUAAAGCGAGCGCAGGCGGUUCCUUAAGUCUGAUGUGAAAGCCCCCGGCUCAACCGGGGAGGGUCAUUGGAAACUGGGGAACUUGAGUGCAGAAGAGGAGAGUGGAAUUCCAUGUGCAGCGGUGAAAUGCGUAGAUAUAUGGAGGAACACCAGUGGCGAAGGCGACUCUCUGGUCUGUAACUGACGCUGAGGCUCGAAAGCGUGGGUAGCAAACAGGAUUAGAUACCCUGGUAGUCCACGCCGUAAACGAUGAGUGCUAAGUGUUGGAGGGUUUCCGCCCUUCAGUGCUGCAGUUAACGCAUUAAGCACUCCGCCUGGGGAGUACGACCGCAAGGUUGAAACUCAAAGGAAUUGACGGGGACC
rnacentral:rRNA from 1 species